UGCCGUGGGGGCGGUUCGUGUGGGAGGGAGGCCGGGCGCGCUCCCGGCUUUCCCCCGGGAGAAGGGUGAAGUUCCUUGUGGAAAGAUAAGGGCUGGGCUCAGGUGUGUCCCGGUCCGGCUGGAGUUCCUGCAGGGAUCAGCUCCCGCAGUGUCCACGGGUUGUCCGUGCGUGUCUCGCUUGUGCCAUGUCCCCCGGUGUUCUGACCCCCUCUCUGUUCCUUGAGAGAGACACAAACGUGGGACAAACAGUUUCGCUUUGGGAGGAUGUCUCUCCCACAGAGGAUGCCCAAGAUUGUUCUGCUUCAUUUAACUGGAGACGGACAAGACAAUUAGUUUUCCCUUUAAUCUUCCUCCAGUUUUCUGUCAGCGCUGUCAGCUGUCCUCUGCAGGAUGUGGUAUUGCAGUUUAAUCACAUAAGAAUGCAAUUUCUCCUUCCUCUCCC